rnacentral:rRNA from 1 species
GAUCCGCGUGCUCGAAUGACAAGGUAACGGCGACGGCAGCUGCCGCACCACCCCCACCGGAGGAGGAGGAGCCGUCGACAGCCGCGGUGGCAGCUUCAGCGACCCCGCCGGCGGCGCGAGGUGCUUAAGCGCCACGUGCCGCUUCUCGCGCGCCGUCGAGUAGAGGAAGAGCUUGGCGGUGUGCAUCAAGUCGGGCUGCUCGUCGAGGCGGUGCCGGCGGAGGUGGAACAGAGCCAGGCGCUUGACGUCGCAGACGUCGUCCUUGCACAACGGCGGCGGCGGCGGCGGCACCGCUCCCCCCUCGGCCCGAUACAGGCAGCAGCUACUCCAGCUGCAGCAGAAGGCGACGAGCUUCGACGCGAGGCGGACGGUGGCGUGGCACCGCACGCGGUACCCGCGGUCGGUGAGGUCCUACGGCGGGUCGCGCCGCGCGGUGAGCGGCCGCUCGGGGCGCAGGCGGAGCCGGUGGCGCGGCGCGUCGGCGCGGGCCUCGACGCGCGCGUGCGAGCGGCAGUCGUACGGCAUGUCGAGCAGGGCGAGCAGGCCGGGGUGGUCGGCGACGCCGCUGGCGCGGUAGGCGAGCUAGCUCUAGUGGUCGGGCCGCAUGGCGCCGCGGUCACGGCGGCGCGGGUCGCAGGGGCGGCCGCCGUGGUCGCAGCGGCACGACAUGAGCUUCUUCGGCGCGGCAGACGACGGGAAGCGCGAGACCUGCUGCCGUCGCUGCAGCUUGCCGUGGCGGAGGUAGCUGUACCUGAACGCGCUGCCGCCGCCGCCCCUGACGCGCAGCCGCCUGCCCACCUGCCGGCUCCUCUCGCACUCCGAGGCCAUCUCUCCGCGCACGGCGACUAGGACCGGCGGCCGCGGCUUCUGCUCGAACUACGCGCGCUCCUACCACUUCCGGCGCGCGCGGUCGCUGCUCUGCUGCCGCAGCUUCCACGUGGGGGUGUCUCUGCAGACGAACUCCAAGAAGUGCAGGACGAAGAACCUCUUCUACUCGACGACGACGAGGCUGCGGUGGCUCUAGAACGAGCGGCUGUACGACGCCGCCACCGUGGGAGGAGGCGGCGAACGUCGUCGCAGCCGGGCGUCCUUGAAGGCCUCCGGCACGAGCCGGAGGCGCUCGAGGAGGUACCGGGACGCCUCGCGCCGCCACCACCGGUGGACGAAGAGGUUGAAGGAGCGCGCGCGCAGGUAGAGGAAGGUGCACCCGCGCCGGGUCGCCACGGCCAGCGCCGGCCGCAGCCGCUUGAGGUCGUCGCGUAGGGACUUGAGGGCGUUCGUCCCCAGCCGCGUCGCGAGGCGGUCGCGCCGCUGCCGCAGCCUGCGCGGGGCGUCGCGCAGCUGCUCGAGCCGCGCGCGCUCCGGCUCGUCCUUCCGCAGCAGCAGCCUCUGCUGGAACGCCUGCGGCAGCUCCACCUGCUGGAGCACCGCCUCGGCGCGGUGGCGGCGCAGUGGCUGCCGCGCGGUGUGCACCUCGUCGGACCUGUGCUCCGACCGGUGGAGCUUCCGGUCCUACGGCUGCAACGGGAAGAACGGUGGCCGCGGCCGGCCGCCGCGGGGGCUGCUCCUGCCGAAGCUGCUCUACCGGCUGGCCUGGAACCGGUCGGUACUGAGCGCGCGGUACCCGUAGCCACCUAGCUAGACAGACAGUUACCGUGCGUGGUCGUUCCUUCUCUCGUUCUCGAUC